AGUGGCGAACGGGUGAGUAAUAUAUCGGAACGUACCCUAGAGUGGGGGAUAACGUAGCGAAAGUUACGCUAAUACCGCAUACGAUCUAAGGAUGAAAGUGGGGGAUCGCAAGACCUCAUGCUCGUGGAGCGGCCGAUAUCUGAUUAGCUAGUUGGUAGGGUAAAAGCCUACCAAGGCAUCGAUCAGUAGCUGGUCUGAGAGGACGACCAGCCACACUGGAACUGAGACACGGUCCAGACUCCUACGGGAGGCAGCAGUGGGGAAUUUUGGACAAUGGGCGAAAGCCUGAUCCAGCAAUGCCGCGUGAGUGAAGAAGGCCUUCGGGUUGUAAAGCUCUUUUGUCAGGGAAGAAACGGUGAGAGCUAAUAUCUCUUGCCAAUGACGGUACCUGAAGAAUAAGCACCGGCUAACUACGUGCCAGCAGCCGCGGUAAUACGUAGGGUGCAAGCGGUAAUCGGAAUUACUGGGCGUAAAGCGUGCGCAGGCGGUUUUGUAAGUCUGAUGUGAAAUCCCCGGGCUCAACCUGGGAAUUGCAUUGGAGACUGCAAGGCUAGAAUCUGGCAGAGGGGGGUAGAAUUCCACGUGUAGCAGUGAAAUGCGUAGAUAUGUGGAGGAACACCGAUGGCGAAGGCAGCCCCCUGGGUCAAGAUUGACGCUCAUGCACGAAAGCGUGGGGAGCAAACAGGAUUAGAUACCCUGGUAGUCCACGCCCUAAACGAUGUCUACUAGUUGU
rnacentral:rRNA from 1 species